ACAAUAUAGGAUUAUCCACAACAUUUUACCAAACAAAUGUACUAUAAGUACUGAACUUAGGUGGUUACAAUAUAGGAUUAUUCACAACAUUUUACCAAACAAAUGUACUAUAAGUACUGAACUUACGUGGUUACAAUAUAGGAUUAUCUACAACAUUUUACCAAACAAAUGUACUAUAAGUACUGCACUUACGUGGUUACAAUAUAGGAUUAUCCACAACAUUUUACCAAACAAAUGUACUAUAAGUACUGAACUUAGGUGGUUACAAUAUAGGAUUAUCCACAACAUCAUCCCAAACAAAUGUACUAUAAGUACUGAACUUAGGUGGUUACAAUAUAGGAUUAUCCACAACAUUAUCCCAAACAAAUAUACUAUAAGUACUGAACUUAGGUGGUUACAAUAUAGGAUUAUCCACAACAUCAUCCCAAACAAAUGUACUAUAAGUACUGAACUUAGGUGGUUACAAUAUAGGAUUAUCCACAACAUUAUCCCAAACAAA